CAUUGAAACACCAGUUCCCAAAAGAUAACCGACGUUAAGCAAUGUUGAGCCUGGCCAGUACCUAGAUGGGUAACCGCUUGUGAAUACCAUGUGCUGUAA